UCUAAGGAUGAAUGAAAGUAAAAUUUCAUUCUAAAUAAUAUACAUCGGUAAUGUUGACCGUCCUCAUUUCUCUUCUUAAAGUAAUGUUUCCUUCUUGUAGGGCCGGUAGCUCAGUUGGUUAGAGCACACCCUUGAUAAGGGUGGGGUCGAAAGUUCGAGUCUUUCUCGGCCCACCACACUUAACUGGGGGAUUAGCUCAGCUGGGAGAGCGCCUGAUUUGCAUUCAGGAGGUCAGCGGUUCGAUCCCGCUAUCCUCCACCAGGAAACAUUUAGUUAUAAAAACUGUAAAUAAAUUUAAUAAUUAAUAUCAAUAUCUAUAUCCGAACAUUAGUAAUGUUAUUAGCUAAUGUUCAAAAUAAAAAUUUGAUUCAACACAGAAUUUUUUUCUGUGCAUAAAU
rnacentral:tRNA from 1 species